CCAAGGAGUUUAACAUACGUGCAAGUUUGUGAGUUUUGCGAAACUCAUGGGCGCAAUUAAAGUGAAGGCUGGCAGUUGCGUCGGCUGAGAUACGAUCCCGGCACUUUGCCGAGUGUCGGGCGGAGUAUCGUCCCAUCUGAGCGGUUCGACCGCUAGGUGGAGACUGAGCACGUCUGUUGAGACCCGAAAGAUGGUGAACUAUGCUUGAGCAGAACGAAGCCAGAGGAAACUCUGGUGGAGGUUCGUAGCGGUUCUGACGUGCAAAUCGAUCGUCAGACUUGAGUAUAGGGGCGAAAGACUAAUCGAACCAUCUAGUAGCUGGUUCUCUUCGAAGUUUCCCUCAGGAUAGCUGGAGCUCGAAGUGGAUAGUUUUAUCCGGUAAAGCGAAUGAUUAGAGGAAUUGGGAAUGAAUGAUUCUCAGCCUAUUCUCAGAAGUUUGAAUGGGGUAAGAAACGGUCCUUCCGUAAUUAUGAAGUAUUG
rnacentral:rRNA from 1 species